rnacentral:rRNA from 1 species
UACGUAGGGUGCAAGCGUUAAUCGGAAUUACUGGGCGUAAAGCGUGCGCAGGCGGUUUUGUAAGUCUGAUGUGAAAUCCCCGGGCUCAACCUGGGAAUUGCAUUGGAGACUGCAAGGCUAGAAUCUGGCAGAGGGGGGUAGAAUUCCACGUGUAGCAGUGAAAUGCGUAGAGAUGUGGAGGAACACCGAUGGCGAAGGCAGCCCACUGGGUCAAGAUUGACGCUCAUGCGCGAAAGCGUGGGGAGCAAACAGG